rnacentral:SRP_RNA from 1 species
GCCGGGCGACACGGCGGGCGCCUGUAGUCCCAGCUACUCGGGAGGCUGAGGCAGGAGAAUGGCGUGAACCCAGGAGGCGGAGCUUGCAGUGAGCUGAGAUCCGGCCACUGCUCUCCAGCCUGGGCGGCAGAGCGAGACACUGUCUCAAAAAAAAAAAAAAAACGAAAAAGACAAAAAAAAAGAAAAGUCUUCCAAGGGGUAAAGUUGAUCUUUUUUUUUUUUUUUUUUUUUUUUUUUUGGAGACGGAGUCUCGCUCUGCCGCCCAGGCUGGAGUGCAGUGGCCGGAUCUCAGCUCACUGCAAGCUCCGCCUCCCGGGUUCACGCCAUUAUCCUGCCUCAG